GAUGAAGAACGCAGCGAAAUGCGAUAAGUAAUGUGAAUUGCAAAUUCAGUGAAUCAUCGAGUCUUUGAACGCACAUUGCGCCCCCUGGUAUUCCGGGGGGCAUGCCUGUCCGAGCGUCAUUGCUGCCCUCAAGCACGGCUUGUGUGUUGGGCCCCGUCCUCCGAUCCCGGGGGACGGGCCCGAAAGGCAGCGGCGGCACCGCGUCCGGUCCUCGAGCGUAUGGGGCUUUGUCACCCGCUCUGUAGGCCCGGCCGGCGCUUGCCGAUCAACCCAAAUUUUUAUCCAGGUUGACCUCGGAUCAGGUAGGGAUACCCGCUGAACUUAAGCAUAUCAAUAAGCGGAGGA
rnacentral:misc_RNA from 1 species